rnacentral:rRNA from 1 species
UAGGGUAUCUUCCACAAUGGACGCAAGUCUGAUGGAGCAACGCCGCGUGAGUGAAGAAGGUUUUCGGAUCGUAAAGCUCUGUUGUUGGUGAAGAAGGAUAGAGGCAGUAACUGGUCUUUAUUUGACGGUAAUCAACCAGAAAGUCACGGCUAACUACGUGCCAGCAGCCGCGGUAAUACGUAGGUGGCAAGCGUUGUCCGGAUUUAUUGGGCGUAAAGCGAGCGCAGGCGGAAUGAUAAGUCUGAUGUGAAAGCCCACGGCUCAACCGUGGAACUGCAUCGGAAACUGUCAUUCUUGAGUGCAGAAGAGGAGAGUGGAAUUCCAUGUGUAGCGGUGGAAUGCGUAGAUAUAUGGAAGAACACCAGUGGCGAAGGCGGCUCUCUGGUCUGCAACUGACGCUGAGGCUCGAAAGCAUGGGUAGCGAACAGG